rnacentral:lncRNA from 1 species
AUGAAAACAUAUGAUUCAAAUUUCCUUUAUGAUACACAAGGGCUCUUUCUGGACUCGCUUUCCCUUGCUGCCAAGCUAAUGAUGAGAGUGGAAGUUGCCCAAUACUCACAUCAUCAACAGAUGGCUCCCCACAUUUGGGAAACUUUUACGUGGCAGAGAAAGGAGAAGGCCAGCUCCUCAAGAUGGACUCCAAGGAGCCCUGAGGAUGCAAGCAUUGAGAAACAGAUUGCGCGAGGAAUGGUGUUUUCAGCCCAGAGAAGAAAAGGCUCUCCAAAUGCUUUUUUCAUUUACACAUCCAAACAUUCCUGGAGUGCCUGGGAAGUGUCCGGUAACAUGCAGUGUGUUACCAAGCCAUCAAGAAAUGUCUGUUUUCCUGGAGUCAGUGAUGGGUUCCAUGGUGCACAGCCCAGUUUUCCUCUUGGAGCAGACAGUCCUAGGCCACAGCUACUGGGAAUGUCAGCUCCUGGUGGCCCACACCCUGUCCCUCAGUGGGAAUGGCCUCUCCCAAGGUCAUAGCCUGGUGGAAGAAAGAAAGAACAAGUCUCCUUGCUACAAAGUGAACAACGCCAGGGAGCCAUUCCAGCUCAAGGACACCUCAUGGACCAGACAGGCCUCAGUUGCAAGCACAAUGGGAGUGUCUUCUCCCUCUGCCUAGUCCCAUUAUUCUCAUUUUCUUGCAAGGAUGUAUCCCGUCAGUCUGGUUGAUGGGGUAACAGGGAUGCAGAUAAGCAAGCAGGCAUUCAUAAUAGAGUUGGUAGGAUGAGGAAUGGGAGAAGUACAGGAAGAUACGGGUGCACCCAGUCCAGAACUGUGGGGUAUCUUAGUCUACCUCCUGUUGCUAUAACAAAAUGCCCAAGACUAGGUAAUUUUGAAAGAAUGAAAGUGAUCUGGACCAUGCCUCUGUAG